GCUCAGGAGAAUUUCUAUUGAAAGUUACUUAUUGGCCACAUAAAACUGAGAAAGGAGGGAAGCCACGUUGCCAUGGUGACCAAAUCCAUUCUCACCCUCGUACCUAUUGCUUCAUUUAGAAGGGACUGGAACAGAUUCCAAAGAGCGAAUGCACCAACUAGCUUCACCAGUGCAGGGUGGAUGAGACGGAAAACUCUAUGGAUACACCUGCCAGAAUGAUGUGGAAGAGGCAGACCGGCAGCUAGAGGGAUGGAGACCAUGACAACGAUGACGGAAGAGCUGUUGGCGGGGCUGUGGAGUACAAUAGAGGAUGGAACGUUCUGGAGAAGAUGUCCCCAUGGUGUCGCUGUGAAUUGGACAUGACUCGUUGGCAUUCAAGAGAGAGAUUAGCAGUA